GUUGCCAUCCACAGGGCGCCCUGGAUUUGAAGAAGAGGAACUUUGGCUCAGGAAUUGGGGAAAUGAGAACAGCAGGCAGAAGGCAGGGGUGGGGAGGCCUUUGAAAGCUCUGUCUGCAAGGAAUGGGCCUUCUUAGGACCUGAGGUGGAACCAGACCCAGGUUGUACUGCCAAGGCACCCAGGAGUUCAGGUGCUGUAAACCUGCCACGGUGACCAGAAAUUCCAUCCCUAGAGAAUCAUGAGUUCUGGUAAUGUAGUAAUCUUGCUACUUUUCUACCCUUUUCCCUUUUUGCAGAGGAGAAAUCUCUUGUCUACACACUUGUGUCAGCCUAGGAGUCCGGGACAGAAGGCAUGUAGGACUGGCCAGACUUGAAAGUGACAUGCUGAAUGCAAGGCAAGGACAGAAGGAGCUGAUUCCUUCACAGUCCCCCGGAACCACGUGGUGGCCAGGUUGACAGUACCAGAGAAGAGCACCUUCCCACUUGGGUGACUUGUCAGACCUGAAGAGCAACUGAAAGUCACAGUGGAAUUCAGACUCAUCACUGAUGACCAGGACAAGAAACCAAGAUCAAGGUGCAGCUGAGUAUAGGAGAAUCAUCAGGGACCAAACACCAGCAUGAGAACUCAUUCGAGUUUUGAAACAGAUUCUCACUGCUCUGGCCCUGAAUGCCUGGCUGCAGAGGUCUUCCUGCUUUGCCCUUUCAAGUAGCUAGGGUUAUACAUAUAAGCUUGAAGCAGAAACAACAUUGAGAGUCCUGCUUACUGGCUUGCUCAGCUACCUUUCUUACCCAGCUUGGGUCUACAGGCCUAAGGAUGGUACUGCAAUCCUAAGGAUGGCUGGUCCUUCCUACAUCAAUUACCAACUGAGAAAAUGCCUCAGAGAUGUGGCAACAGGCUAAUCUGAUUUGGGCAGGUCUACUUCAGUCGAGGUUAUUUUCCUGGAUGAUUCUAGGUCAUAUCUAGUGGUCUUCUGAUGCUAAGUAGGACGGCAGGACCAGAGGCAACUUUUACAUUUGGCUCAGUCCAUUCUCUGCCCCAGAAAGUGUACAUUAUUCUGCUUAUCUACAGCUAAAACUAAACUUUGCUUGCCUGUUACAUCUAUGCCCUGCUGGGAAUUCCUCUCCUCUGGGUUCACAAGAAGAGAAUGUGGGAAUGGAAUGUGGGAGGAGAUAUCUCUCCCCAUGAUCAUGUGGAAUGGCAUGUCAGCCUCUGAUCAAGCUCUCCCUUGAUGUCCUCCUGACUUCAGCUGAAGGGUCUUCUUGCUGUUCUCAUCUGAAGUGUCCUCUCCCCUCUCCCUCCAUAACUGUGCUUAGUCACCACUAAAUGCCUGUCUGGGAAAUGCCUGUCUUUCUCUAGGUCAGUAAUGACUGUCUUAGUCGGGGUUUCUAUUUCUGAACAAACAUCAUGACCAAGAAGCAAGUUGGGGAAGAAAGGGUUUAUUCGGUUUACAUUUCCAUACUGCUGUUCAUCACCAAGGAAGUCAGGACUGGAACUCAAGCAGGUCAGGAAGCAGGAGCUGAUGCAGAGGCCAUGGAGGGAUGUUUCUUUACUGGCUUGCUUCCCCUGGCUUGCUCAGCCUGCUCUCUUAUAGAAUCGAGACUACCAGCCCAGAGAUGGUCCCACCCACAAGGGGUCUUUCCCCCUUGAUCACUAAUUGAGAAAAUGCCUUACAGUUGGAUCUCAUGGAGGCAUUUCCUCAACUGAAGCUCCUUUUUCUGUGAUAACUCCAGCUGUGUCAAGUUGACACAAAACUAGCCAGUACAAUUGAUCCCUUGUCCACUUGACACACAAAUACAUCACUAGUAAGCCUCAACCCUUACAUUCUUAUUCAUCCCCAAGAUCUAAAUAACUUUAAAAGUCCCACAGUUUUUACAUAUUCUUAAAAUUUCAAUCUCUUUAAAAUAUCCAACUCUUUUAAAACCCAAAGUCUUUUUACAAUUAAAAGUCUCUUAACUGUUGAUUCCACUAAAAUAGUUUCUUCCUUCAAGAGGGAAAAAUAUCAGGGCACAGUCACAAGCAAAAGCAAAAAUUAAUCUCCAACUAUCCAAUGUCUGGGAUCCAACUCAUGAUCUCCUGGGCUCCUCCAAGGGUUGGGUCACUUCUCCAGCCAUGCCCUUUGUAGCACACAUGUCGUCCUCUAGGCUCCAGAUGCCUGUACUCCACUGCUGCUGCUCUUGGUGGUCAUCUCAUGGUACUGGCAUCACCAAAACACUGCCUGACCCCUUCAGUCCUGGGCCAUCAAUUGCAACUGAGGCUGCACCUUCACCAAUGGUCUUCCUUGGCCUCUCACAGUGCCGAGCCUCAGCUGCUCUGUGUGACCCCUUCAUGCCUUCAAAACCAGUACCACCUGGGUGACCCUUACACAUUACCAAGUCCCAGUCCCUGAUGGAGGCAUUUCCUCAGCUAAAGCUCCUUUCUCUGUGAUAACUCCAGCUGUGUCAAGUUGACACAAAACUAGCCAGUACAAUGAAUUAACAUUGCAAGAUGACUGCUUUUGGUUCAGUUACUUGCUACUGCAUAGGAACCAAUGGAUCUUAGUAUAUUUAUGGUACCGUAGAAAACCACCAGAGCUGGUGUAGGCUAUGAAGAACAUCUCUGAAGCCUGAAGUCCAAAUUCAAAAGUGUUCAGUAUAUGAUGGGGGGCUUGUUCCCUCUUGACUUCCUAUGUAGUCAGACUCACAUGCAAAGAAUAGAAAGGCACAAAGCUUCUCAUUUUGUAGAAGACUAAUUGCUUACAGAAAGAGCUUUAUUAAUCAACCAUUUCCUAAAGGCCUAAAAUUGAUUCAACAUGAAUUUGGGGAUGAAAUGACCAAAGUCUUCCUUACAAUGCAAUGGCUUAAGCCAACUUUUCUUCCUUUCUUUUUAAGUGGAAAUACAUUUUAAAGUGGAUUGUCUAGUCCUUGUGUGGAAGAGUGUGUGCACAUUAAUGCAGGUGCCCUCAAAGGCCAGAAGUUGGAUCCUCUGGAGUCAUAGUUGCAAUUGGCUAUACACUGCUCUACUUGCAUGUUGGUCACCAUGCUCUAGUUCUCUGUAGAGCUGUAGCAGGGUCAUAACUACUGAGCAACACUCUAGCUCCAAGACAACUUGUUCUUGAUGACUGGUGGUUCCCCAGGUUGUCUAGGCUCAAUGGAGCUGUGUUCCAUUAUCGCCAUUUGAACUUCAUUCCUGAUAUCCCCACCACCACCACCACUACCCAGGGCCUGCCCAUGAGACCAUCACAGAAUUAGAGCGUCACUGCUGCAGGCAGGGAACUGCUCCUGAACUGAUACAGUGUCACUCCAUGAUAUUCUGUUAGUCAAGUGAGGAAUUAAGAAACAUGGGAAUAGACUCGAGGCUUGGAUAAGUAUGUAGAAAAGACAAGAACCAGAAAGCAUGUGGGAGUUAUUGUUACUCUUGGAAUACAUGGACAAAUUAAAAGGGAAAAUAUUAACAUUGAAGUUUUAGAUGAUUUGGUGAUGUACAAGCAGCUGUUUGGGGCGA
rnacentral:lncRNA from 1 species